CUGAAGUCUGCAGGACAGUAGCUCUCCAGGAGCAGGGUUGGAGAUUUCUGCUGUAGAGCAAUGACGAGAAAGCUUUGAUUUUAUGUUGAAAUCUAUUUUGCCAUAUAUCUGAGAGAAACAUCUGAAGAAAAGAUGAGAAACAUGUAUUCUGAGAUCUGUUUGAGACAUCAUUGAGAUUUCUAAAUUAGUCUUUUGAGUAGGAGUCCUUUGUUACCAAACUGGCGAGGAGCAAAGGGAUGUCACAGAUCCAAAUGCAUUUUUAACAUGCUUUCGCCAAAUGUUUGACAGCCGCCGGCAUGAUGAAUUUGAUUGAUGAUGUGUUGG